rnacentral:rRNA from 1 species
ACGGCUCAGUAACACGUGGACAACCUGCCCUUAGGUUGGGUAUAAACCCGGGAAACUGGGUAUAAUACCCGAUAGGUCUCGAUUGCUGGAAUGCAUCGAGAUUUAAAGCUCCGGCGCCUAAGGAUGGGUCUGCGGCCUAUCAGGUAGUAGUGGGUGUAGCGUACCUACUAGCCUACGACGGGUACGGGUUGUGAGAGCAAGAGCCCGGAGAUGGAUUCUGAGACACGAAUCCAGGCCCUACGGGGUGCAGCAGGCGCGAAAACUUUACAAUGCUGGCAACAGCGAUAAGGGAACCUCGAGUGCCAGGUUACAAAUCUGGCUGUCGAGAUGCCUAAAAAGCAUUUCAUAGCAAGGGCCGGGCAAGACCGGUGCCAGCCGCCGCGGUAACACCGGCGGCUCGAGUGGUAACCGUUAUUAUUGGGUCUAAAGGGUCUGUAGCCGGCCGGAUAAGUCUCUUGAGAAAUCUGGCAGCUUAACUGUCAGGCUUUCAGGAGAUACUGUCUGGCUCGAGGCCGGGAGAGGUGAGAGGUACUUCAGGGGUAGGGGUGAAAUCUUGUAAUCCUUGAAGGACCACCAGUGGCGAAGGCGUCUCACCAGAACGGACCUGACGGCAAGGGACGAAAGCUAGGGGCACGAACCGGAUUAGAUACCCGGGUAGUCCUAGCCGUAAACGAUACUCGCUAGGUGUCGGCCACGGCGCGACCGUUGUCGGUGCCGUAGGGAAGCCGUGAAGCGAGCCACCUGGGAAGUACGGCCGCAAGGCUGAAACUUAAAGGAAUUGGCGGGGGAGCAC